rfam:Xenopus laevis strain J chromosome 4S, whole genome shotgun sequence.
CUGCAUCCCUGAAACCCCCCGGUAGCCUGGUAUGUAGGUGCUGGGACAAGAAGAGAUGCUAGAGCCAAGCUGUGAGAGCUCCAAUGUGUAGGCAGUGUGUUUCCCUGCACUAUUUCACCUCUCGCACAGCU